AGGACGAACGCUGGCGGCGUGCCUAACACAUGCAAGUCGAACGAGGUCCAACCGGUAGCAAUACCGGUGAAGAUCAAGUGGCGAACGGGUGAGUAGCACGUGAGCAACCUGCCCCGAAGACCGGGACAACACCGGGAAACCGGUGCUAAUACCGGAUAUCCCCACUGAGUCGCAUGGCUCGGUGAGGAAAUGGAUUCCGCUUCGGGAGGGGCUCGCGGCCUAUCAGCUUGUUGGUGAGGUAACGGCUCACCAAGGCUUCGACGGGUAGCUGGUCUGAGAGGACGAUCAGCCACACUGGGACUGAGACACGGCCCAGACUCCUACGGGAGGCAGCAGUGGGGAAUCUUGCACAAUGGGCGCAAGCCUGAUGCAGCAACGCCGCGUGAGGGACGAAGGCUUUCUGAGUUGUAAACCUCUUUCAGCAGGGACGAUUGUGACGGUACCUGCAGAAGAACGCCCGGCCAACUACGUGCCAGCAGCCGCGGU
rnacentral:rRNA from 1 species